rnacentral:rRNA from 1 species
UACGUAGGGUGCGAGCGUUGUCCGGAAUUAUUGGGCGUAAAGAGCUCGUAGGCGGUGUGUUACGUCGGCCGUGAAAACCUGCAGCUUAACUGUGGGCGUGCGGUCGAUACGGGCAUCACUGGAGUUCGGCAGGGGAGACUGGAAUUCCUGGUGUAGCGGUGAAAUGCGCAGAUAUCAGGAGGAACACCGGUGGCGAAGGCGGGUCUCUGGGCCGAUACUGACGCUGAGGAGCGAAAGCGUGGGGAGCAAACGGG